rnacentral:rRNA from 1 species
GACCAGACUCCUACGGGAGGCAGCAGUGGGGGAUAUUGCACAAUGGGGGAAACCCUGAUGCAGCGACGCCGCGUGGGUGAAGAAGUAUUUCGGUAUGUAAAGCCCUAUCAGCAGGGAAGAAAGAAGACGGUACCUGACUAAGAAGCCCCGGCUAACUACGUGCCAGCAGCCGCGGUAAUACGUAGGGGGCGAGCGUUAUCCGGAUUCACUGGGUGUAAAGGGAGCGUAGACGGCCGUGCAAGCCAGGAGUGAAAGCCCGGGGCCCAACCCCGGGACUGCUCUUGGAACUGUGCGGCUAGAGUGCGGGAGGGGCAGGCGGAAUUCCUGGUGUAGCGGUGAAAUGCGUAGAUAUCUGGAGGAACAUCAGUGGCGAAGGCGACUAUCUGGCACAUAACUGACGCUGAGGAGCGAAAGCGUGGGUAUCGAACAGGAUUAGAUACCCUAGUACGC